rnacentral:lncRNA from 1 species
AGGUAAAUGAGGGCGUAUUUUUAGUCUUGUUUACGGAGAAAGAAUAAAAUUUGGGCUCAAACAACCCAUUUUUUUAGGCCUAAUUUUCGGGCCUAGCCUAUAAUGACCCAAGCCCAAUACCCCUAAAAAUCCCUAAGCAUAAGAGUACCCGUAGACCUAAGACUAAUCGGUCAAGAAAAAACACAAAAAAUAGACCCUAAGAGCUAGAGAAUGGAUCCGCCGUUUUCAUCCUAAAAACCCGCCCCCCUGAAGGUUUUCUUCUUCACCAGACCCUUAAGAUCAGCGGCUGAACACAGAGGUCCCUUUCGACACACCCCAUCAGACUCAUCUUCUUCACCACAAAAAACAGAGAAGCAACAACAUCUUCUCUUCCGCCUUGAACAUCCUUCACCAGACCGGAAAAACCAGCCUCCUCUUCUCCGCAAUGCCAACCACCCAUCUGCUACACGACCACCAUGACUCCUUCUUCUUCAACCGUCGAUCUCACCUGGCUAAAACACAGCAAAGAAAACACAAAAACAGAUCAAAGAGGGACGAACUAAGGAGACAAAUACAACAACAACGUAUAAGGAAAUUCGAAGUUUGAUUUCGGAUUCAAAUCCUACUUAUUUUCAUUCCAUAGUUUCUCUUGUUCUUGUGCUUUCGAUUUUAAAAGCCAUGGAAUCCGAUGGAGUUUUGAUUGAGGUCAUUUUGGUUUCGAGCAAUGGUGUCCGCUUCUACAACGCAACAAGAGGUGGCUCUGUUGAGGCAGAAAUGGAUUGAUUUUGCCUAUACUUCUGCUAAUAGAAACGUGCUAAUUAAAUGUUGUUUGAAUGAAAUGGGAUUGGAAAGAAUUCAAAUGAGUAUCUGUUUGGUAAACAGUAAGUUUUCUGUUCAAUUUUAUAUUGUUAUUUCUUAUUUGUUUAUCAUUAGAUUAUUAGUUGCAAAAUUCGGGUAUUAUUUCGUGCAUAUAGAGCAUAUCAAGUUGUGAUUAAUUAUAUUAUCAUUGUGCAUCUGAAGGUAUGGUGUGAUAUUUUGGUUUAUAAGCUUCAUGUUUGCAUCAUGGAUAAAUGGAUGUUCAUGGAAGUUUGCUGCCGUUACGAGUAUUAAUGAUUUGUUGACCAAUGACAUGAAUAGGCUGGCUGGUAAUUUGAUUUUUUUAGAAGUUUAUUAAGUUAUGAUUUAUAAUUGAUUUGGGAUUAUUGUAGAUGAAACUAUUUCAAUAAAGUGAUUAGGAAAUGUAACCUUUAUAUAAACACGUAAUUAAAUCAUCACAAUUACGGGUAUGGUUCCCAUGGCAUGGUUGUGACACUUAAUUCAAAUUAGUUUCUUUAGUAUGAACAUCCUUAGUUGAAUGCUUUUUCGUUAAUAAAAUUGAGGUGUGCCAUCCAAUAACUUAGUCUAUGGCCCUCAUAUCGAUAUCUUAACUAGUGUAGAAAAUACCGUGAACUUUCGUAGUUUGCUUUAGGCGCAUUAAUUGAAUAAUUGUCAUAGCUACGGGUAUGGUUCCCGUGACGUAGUAGUGAUCCUUAAUCUCUAAAAUCUGGGGCUACAUUUAUGUGAUCCGGCCACAAUUUAAUCUUAUCAAUAAAAUAAACAUGUUGUGAAUCGUGGGUACGGUUCCCCUGACAUGAUUCGCAACGUGUAAUCAAAUAAUUAGUUGCAUAAUAAUUGGAUUAUUAAAAGCGGUUUAAAAGGAAUAAAAUGCACAUAGGAUCCAAAAAUAUUUUAAAAUCAGAUAAAUAGGCCAAUAAUAAUAGUUGAGCAACCGUGCUAAAACCACAGAACCCGGGAAUGCCUAACACCUUCUCCCGGGUUAACAGAAUUCCUUACCCAGAUUUUUGUGUUCGCAGACCGUAAAUAGAGUUAACUUCCUCGAUUCAGGAUUUUAACCGGUGACUUGGGACACCAUAAAUUAUCCCAAGUUGCGACUUUGAAUCUAAUAAUUAAUCCCGUUUCGAUUGUCACUUAAAUUGAAAAAACACCCUUAUACCCUUCCGGGGGUAGGAAAAAAGGAGGUGUGACAGCACUGGCGACUGUGCUAGGGAAAAGAACCCAGAACUUCUGGUUCAGGGUUCAAGAAUUCGAGCUUAGAAUAAUUGUUAUAUUUGGCUUCUAUUUAUUAUCUGAUUUUAUUUACAUGUUUGGGCCUAAUGUGCUAAAUGUUGCUCUUUAUCGCUUUGAUAUUAUCUGAACUGUAUAUAAACUGCUACGAAACCCCUCUUCUAAUCUUUGGAAAGUGCACGCUGGCGUGAAUUCUUUUCUGUUAGUGUCAUAUCCCAAUUUAGAACGAGGUUCGGACAAGUUGCAAAACCGGAUGAUCUUUUGGUUACCGGCACACUGCCCUUCCCCCAAGCUUGAGUUGUCCGCUCGGGUAAGCUAGGUCUAGAACAAUACACCCAGGUUUUAAACCUAGAAUAACUCAGCCUCUUGCCGGAUCCCUACUAGGAACGUUUGUUUGCAUUAUGUGAAUUUGACUUUGGGGAUUCAACACAGGGGUUGAGUCGGUCUAGGACAGGUACCCAAAAAAUAAAAGACCAUCCUGAUGCAUUCUAUGUACUACAUGUUGCAAUCUUCAAGGGUAAAAGGGGUCAUUUGGCGGACCACUGAUGGUUGAGGAUAAAUGAGAAAAAAGAGGGCGAAGUGUAAAAAUAAAGCAAGUAGGGCCCAAUUAUGUUUUUCUUUCACAUUUUUAAGAAAAAGAAAAAAAAUGAAAAAUCUAAAAAGAUUUUGCACUUUCUCAUCAUUUUCAAAAAAAAAUCAAAAAAAAGGAAAAGAAAAAUACAAAAAGAGUUUACAUGUUCCAUCAUUUUCUUUAAAAAAAAAGAGAUAAAAAUAUAUUUUCUCUAAAUUAGUUGUUGUUUUUUAAUUCUUGCCCGUAUCCAAUCUGCCCAAACUACACAUACCUGAUUCUCGUCUUUCGGGGCGUGAUACGUAAGGAACCCACAUAGGGUUUGGUCUUCCUAGUGAAUUUAGGUUCUUGGCUUCGCGGGGUCUUAGCCAAAUCUUGUAUUGUUAGCCACUUUUAGCCACAUAGGUUAAUUUUAGAAAAAUAGUCACAAUCAUGUCUUGCAUGUGUCCAACAGGAAGGGUUGUUAUCUCACAUAGCAUUCUAGGUCUUUAACUUUAUUUGGUCUUAAUUUUCUCGUACAGGUGUAGAUUUACUUACCGGAGUUUGAGCAUGACAGACGCCCAAGACCAUCUAGUCAGGAUCGCUCAUUCAGGAGUUUCAGAAGUGGCUUAAGGAAAUUUUUUAUAUUUUUUUAUAUUUUGAGUCUAUUUUUUUAUGUUUUUAUUUUUUAUGUCUGUUUUUCACCUUCUAGUUUUGUACAGUAAUGUCGAGUUUUUUGUUAUUGUACUUUCUAUUUUGCAUUUGAAAAAGUGUGUUAUAACUCAAAAAUCCAAAAAAAAAGAGAUUUUACAUUUUAUAUUUUCGUUAGAAGUUUUCUUUAGAAUACCAAUUCUAGAAAUAAAAAAAUAUUUGAGGUAGUUUUCC